GGACGCGAUCGGUCACGUGUGCGAGACGCCCGCCGCGGUCGCGCUGGGGAGAAUCCGGCAUCCGAUCGGCGCCCCAACCCGAGGCCGGUUUCGAGCGGCGAGUCGCGGGACGGCUCGGACCUAGAGGUGUUCGCGGCACCUGCCCUCUCCCAGGAGAUGGAGAGCGGAAAUGAGACCACCGAACUGGAGGACACGCCGGAUACAUUUGCUGCUACAGUCUGCGAUUCGGACUCUGAGGGUCUCCACAGCACUGCCCUUCCGGUGAGGUCCGGCCAACCCGUCUCACCGGGAUCGGAGUCCGACUCGGACGAGUCGGACAGCCCGGGCACGGGUGCUCGCGCACCCCCGACCAGGCGCGAAGCUCCUCCGGCGAGACGCGGAGCACCCCCGGCUAGGCGUGGAGCACCCCCGGCCAGGCGUGGAGCACCCCCGGCCAGGCGUGGAGCACCCCCGGCCAGACGCGGAGCACCCCCGGCCAGGCGUGGAGCACCCCCGGCCAGGCGCGGAGCACCCCCGGCCAGACGCGGAGCACCCCCGACCAGACGCGGAGCACCCCCGGCCAGGCGUGGAGCACCCCCGGCCAGGCGUGGAGCACCCCCGGCGAGGGAGCGUGGCGCUCUGGACCAGGCUGCCUUAGAGCCGAGUAUGGCUGAAAACAUUCAGCGGCUGGUGAACAGCGACGCAAACAUCGUGGCUUUCUGCGAGCGCCUCGUGGAGACCUUUGGGGAAGCGCUGGCGCUGGAUCGGGCCUAUUUUGAUCGCCAAGGUGAAUUUAACGCCGCCGUCCUGGCGGCCCUGCAGCGGCGCAACUGAACACACUAACUGGGAACAGGAGACUGGCUGUCUGGCUUAUCACCUUGGCAGUUUUCUGGUAAGGUGCUGUGCCGACCGGCGCAGUCUACUCGGAUGGAGCUGACUGCAGCUGGGCGACACUCUGCGUUGGUUUUGGUGUCCGGCCGACCUGGGGCUGGCGCCGCUGCGCUGAAGUCAGCUGCUCGAGUGGAUGGGAGCUGGCGUGAGGAAGUUUAAUAGUUUGUUUUCUUGAAGUGUGUAGCCUUUGCUGUUCAGGCCUCAAGUGUUCGCAAACAAUGCUUUUCAGUUCUGGAUCGAGUAAGAUGAAGCGCAUAAUCUUAUUAUGAAGCGUUGCUAGGUCGCAGCGGUUGCGCCUGUCACUUUUUUGUCGUACAUUUCUUUUCACGACUCACGACCAUUCGAAUUCGGUUCACGGGUACUUGACAGACCGCCAUUCUGGGUCCGUGUCGGCUAUCAUAACGCGGAGCGCUUUCUAUCAUGAGGCACCUGGAAGUUUCCAGUGACGCGCGCGGCGACUUCCAGUGCACGUCACAAAUAGGCACAGGGAGCUGUGUGUUCCACUGCUUCCCACAGCACACAAGGAGCUGAACGUGUGCAUUUGUAUGACUAUGGGUUGUUUUGUUUUGAGUUGUGCUGGAGUGCUUCGCAGUGUGCUUUCAGGACACGGGUCAUGUCAU